CAGGCGAUAAAUCAUUCAAGUUUCUGACCUAUCAGCUUUCGACGGUAUGGUAUUGGCUUACCGUGGCAGUGACGGUUAACGGGGGAUUAGGGUUCGAUUCCGGAGAGGGAGCCUGAGAAACGGCUACCACAUCUAAGGAAGGCAGCAGGCGCGCAAAUUACCCAAUUCUAACAGUUUGAGAGAGGUAGUAACAAGAAAUAACAAUACAAGGCAAUUAAAAUGCUUUGUAAUUGGAAUGAUAGAAAUUUAAACCCUUUUUAAAGUAUCAAUUGGAGGGCAAGUCUGGUGCCAGCAGCCGCGGUAAUUCCAGCUCCAAUAGCGUAUAUUAAAAUUGUUGCAGUUAAAAAGCUCGUAGUUGAAGUUCUGCUAAAAGUAACCGGUCUGCUUUUAAUAAAA
rnacentral:rRNA from 1 species